rnacentral:rRNA from 1 species
UUUCAGAGAUGAGAAUGUGCCUUCGGGAACCGUGAGACAGGUGCUGCAUGGCUGUCGUCAGCUCGUGUUGUGAAAUGUUGGGUUAAGUCCCGCAACGAGCGCAACCCUUAUCCUUUGUUGCCAGCGGUCCGGCCGGGAACUCAAAGGAGACUGCCAGUGAUAAACUGGAGGAAGGUGGGGAUGACGUCAAGUCAUCAUGGCCCUUACGACCAGGGCUACACACGUGCUACAAUGGCGCAUACAAAGAGAAGCGACCUCGCGAGAGCAAGCGGACCUCAUAAAGUGCGUCGUAGUCCGGAUUGGAGUCUGCAACUCGACUCCAUGAAGUCGGAAUCGCUAGUAAUCGUGGAUCAGAAUGCCACGGUGAAUACGUUCCCGGGCCUUGUACACACCGCCCGUCACACCAUGGGAGUGGGUUGCAAAAGAAGUAGGUAGCUUAACCUUCGGGAGGGCGCUUACCACUUUGUGAUUCAUGACUGGGGUGAAGUCGUAACAAGGUAACCGUAGGGGAACCUGCGGUUGGAUCACCUCCUU